rnacentral:rRNA from 1 species
CACCGCCCGUCACACCACGAAAGUCCGUUGUACCAGAAGUCAGUGAGCUAACCUCGCAAGGGGAGGCAACGUGCCCAAGGUAUGACUGGUGAUUGGGGUG